GGAUAACCUCCAGCAGUAAGAAAUAUAAAGGCUCACUGCAGUUUUGAGUGCUCAACAAAUAUUGACCCCAUACUAUGCUCAGCAAUUAGGGCCCUUGUAUUUCUGUGAAUCCUCAUGCAGUACUGCUGUUGGAAGAGGAGCAAACAGUGUGGUAUAUAUGGUCCACCAUCACUUCAAGCAUCAUGGCUAUGGAGAAAAGAAUGUUUCAUUACAUAUGGACAAUUAUAGUGGACAAAAUAAGAAAAGUGUUGUAAUAAGCUAUGGAAUGUGGCUUGUUGUGAUGGGUCUACAUGAUGACUUGGAGUACAACCUGAUUGAGGCCCGGCAUACAGAAUUCAGACCUGAACAUGUUUAGAAUGUCUUCUGCAUGACCUGGUAUAGAUAGUAUUCUUGAAGGAUUAUAACUUCAACACAGAGACGGAUAUUAAUAUUUUAGGCAGGGGGUUGGCAUGA